UACGGAGAGUGCAAGCGUUAUUCGGAUUUAUUGGGCGUAAAGGGCGUGUAGGCGGCUUGAAAGGUCAAAGGUGAAAUCCCCGGGCUCAACCUGGGAACUGCCUUUGAAACCGUCUGGCUUGAGUUCGGGAGAGGGUAGUGGAAUUCCUAGUGUAGCGGUGAAAUGCGUAGAUAUUAGGAGGAACACCAGUGGCGAAGGCGACUACCUGGACCGAUACUGACGCUGAAGCGCGAAAGCAUGGGGAGCAAACAGG
rnacentral:rRNA from 1 species